AAAGAAAAUAAGUGAUCGGGCACAGGCGAAGACGGCGCAGGCUCCAUAAGGCUCAGCGUUUACAGAGUUCGGGUAGAGUAAGUGGAAGGUGCCCUUUCAACGCUCAGAGUCCAUAUUCGUAAGGCCGCCGGCACUGUCGCACCAGCCGCCCAGCCGCGGUCACCAUGGCGGUCUGCCGACGCCGCUCGCUCGGCUUCAAGGCGCUGGUGACCAUUCCGCUGGUGUGGGUGACGCUGCUGCUGUUCUUCUUCGUCGACCAGCAGGUCACACGGCUGGAGAAGCUGGAGACGGGCCGCCGGGGCGGCAUUGUGCAGCGCCUGAUGCGGGGUAGUGGUGUGGACUCGCUGCCUGCGCGGCUGCCCAAGACGGCCACGGGGUCCGGCCCAGCUGAUGACCCGCCAGUCGGCGAACAGAGGGGAUUCCUUCUGCCUCCUCAGGAGCCCAGUGGACCCGGAGAGAUGGGGAAACCGGUCAUAGUGGUCAAAGACAAACUGUCUAAAGAGGACAAAGAGGCAAUGGAGAAGGGCUGGUCGAGCAACGCGUUCAACCAGUACGUUAGCGACCAGAUCUCCGUGCACCGGACCCUGCCGGAUGUCCGUGAUGACAAGUGUCGCGAGAAUCGCUUCAGCCGCCACCUGCCAGACACCGCGGUAAUCAUCUGCUUCCACAACGAGGCGUGGUCGACGCUGGUGCGCACUGUCCACUCUGUGCUGGAUCGCUCUCCGGCCCACCUGCUCACGGAACUCAUCCUGGUCGACGACUUCUCCAGCCACGAAUAUCUGGGUAAGCGCCUUUCCGACUACAUGUCACAGUACCCUCGUGUGAAGAUUGUGCGGACUCAGAAGCGUGAGGGUCUGAUCCGCGCCCGUCUCCUGGGGGCGAGUCACGCCAAUGCUGACGUGCUGACCUACCUGGACAGCCACUGCGAGUGCACGGAAGGGUGGCUGGAGCCACUGCUGGACAGGAUAGCCCGGAACCGCACCACCGUCGUCUGCCCCGUCAUCGACGUCAUCAACGACGACACGUUCGAGUACCACUGGCAGAGGGCCAGCGGCACCUCUGUCGGCGGCUUCGACUGGAACCUGCAGUUCAACUGGCACGCCAUCCCGGAGAGGGAGCGGAAGCUGCACUCGCACCCCUCGGAGCCGGUGGCCACACCCACAAUGGCCGGCGGCCUGUUCGCCAUAGACCGGCGCUGGUUCGAGAAGCUCGGCUCCUACGACCCGGCCUUCGACAUCUGGGGCGGAGAGAACCUCGAGCUCAGCUUCAAGGUGUGGAUGUGCGGCGGCCGGCUGGAGAUCGUGCCCUGCAGUCACGUGGGUCACAUCUUCAGGAAGCGCUCGCCGUACAAGUGGCGCUCCGGAGUGAACGUGCUGCGCCGCAACAGCGUGCGGUUGGCCGAGGUCUGGAUGGACGAGUACAAAAACUACUUCUACGACAGAAUCAACCAUGAACUGGGCGACUACGGUGACGUGUCGUCCCGGCGCGCCCUGCGGCAGAGGCUGCAGUGCAAGUCGUUCAAGUGGUACCUCGAUAACGUGUUUCCCGAGCUGUUCGUACCUGGCGAGGCGGCGGCCUUCGGGGAGAUUCGGAAUUUGCAGACCAAACUGUGUGUGGACUCCCAGUGCGAUUCGGUGAACGACAUGUACAAGCCAGUUGGACUCUACACGUGCCACAACUUGGGAGGAAAUCAGUAUUGGUUGAUGAGCAAGGAUGGGGAAAUACGGCGCGACGAGGCAUGUCUGGACUAUGCCGGUACAAAUGUGACCCUCUACCCGUGCCACGGAAGCAGGGGCAACCAGUUCUGGAUUUACAAUCCCAAGAAAAACUUUAUUCAUCAUGGGUCAAGUAACAAAUGCAUGGGUGUUAGUGAAGAUCGAAAAUACGUUACCAUGGAACAAUGUGAUGACAGUAACCCGAGGAUACGCUGGGUUUUCGCAAACUUCGACGAGACCAAACUAAGAAAUUCAACAAACAUUCGAUAAGGUCGCUGAUUUGCUUCGGGUCACCCAGUCAACCGUCGCCGGUUACAGAGCUGCCACCUCAGUCGGUACAGUGUAGGCCGGUGCGCUGCCGCUGGCGUGGUGGCGCCACAGUCGUCAAACGGUGUGACCAAAGGUGUGACCACGACCCACACCGGGUCAGAGGGCUUGACUGUAUGUGCCAGUGACUGCCUUCUGAAGGCAUCUCUACAUAGGCAUACGUCAGUGAUGUGGAUUGGACAGAGUGAUGUGGGCAGAUAAAGUGUGUGUGACUGACUCGAAACUCAUUGAAGCUCGACUCAGGUAAGUGCUCUGUGGCCAGCGGUUGUGUUCAUUCCGUGCAGCGAAAUGGCUGGCUUUUACUCGACAACGGAGCGUUGAAAUGCUCUGUGAUAUGCUCGUCAACAUAUCUAGUGGCAUUCCAUAUCCACAAUGUGGUGAUAUUAGUUGGUUCAUCAAGAACGACGGUGAUGAGAGAGUGUCGUUGUCUCGCUGUCGUCAAGAAAAUGAACUUCUUGUGAUGCAGUGCGGCUACAGUGCUGAACUAUGCACAGCGUACCAACAGUAGAUGACGCUCUAGUCGGCCGCUGCCGUGCAGUGUUCACGAGUAUCACGAUGCAACUCAGCAGCAUCUGCCUUCAGAAGCAACUCAGACUGCCGGCAAUCGACCUCCAUCGGCUGUCCUCGUACCUCGUGAAACGCCUCACUGCAUCGACCGCGGCUGGGAGGGGCUCGUCACGGACUACCCCGAUCCAAGGUGAUCAGGGACCGCCUGCAGAGUUACGGCGGAGCGCUCACGGAUGGCGCAGCUGCGCUGGCCGGAGCUGUGAGCCGAGCUGAGCUGGCGCAGCCGACCUUCAGACCUGGUGGAGGUCCCACCGCGACCCUGGCGGCCGUGGAUCCCAGACGGCCAUCAGAGGGGAGACUCGGGGAAAACCCCGCCGGGAAGCAUCACUGACCGUGGUGAUCACGGUGAUGUAGACGACGUCAUUAUGAUUCACGAUAAAUUGUGUUCGGUGAGGGGCAUCCAGCUAGGGUUCUGUUGGUGCGCGAGGGCCAGUGAAGUGCUACGUGAUGGAACACCAUGCUCGUCGUUACGCCGCAUUGUAUAAUGACUCUAAACUGCGCUGAGAUUGAAAGUGCUUUUGUUGACAAUGUGUGAAUGUGAUGGGACGUGUGUGAAGUGAGGUGACUUUUGAUAGGCUCAACGUGGGGCUGCUUUUUUGCGUUACGAUGCAUUUGUACGCUACACAGGUGACGCUCAAGCGUCUGGAUUUCCUAAUCCAUCCCCACUAGAAAUAAGUAGCAAUGUGGCACUCAAGCGUCCACAUUCAGCUCAUGUUGGUUGUGUUAAUUUGGCAUCGAAUGCGCCGAUAGGGUGCUACACACACUGUUUCUACCUACCCGCAAAUGAGACGGCUCCUUGUCGACAAAUCUAGUCUUUCGAUUCAGUGGCAUGCAUGAGUUGAAAGCUGCCAUGGCUAAGGUGUGACAGCGUGUUGUGCAUUCCCUUAUUCGUGCUCGUUCAGCACGUAUUCCAGUCUGUG
rnacentral:misc_RNA from 1 species